rnacentral:rRNA from 1 species
GAUGAACGCUAGCGGCAGGCUUAACACAUGCAAGUCGAGGGGCAGCACGAUGUAGCAAUACAUGGGUGGCGACCGGCGCACGGGUGCGUAACACGUAUGGAAUCUGCCCUGUACUGGGGGAUAGCCCUCCGAAAGGAGGAUUAAUACCCCAUAAUAACUUGAGUGGCAUCACUUGGGUUUGAAAGCUCCGGCGGUACAGGAUGACCAUGCGCACGAUUAGCUAGUAGGUGAGGUAACGGCUCACCUAGGCUACGAUCGUUAGGGGGCCUGAGGGCGUUAUCCCCCACACUGGUACUGAGACACGGACCAGACUCCUACGGGAGGCAGCAGUGAGGAAUAUUGCGCAAUGGAGGCAACUCUGACGCAGCCAUGCCGCGUGCAGGAAGAAGGCGCUACGCGUUGUAAACUGCUUUUAACCGGGAAGAAACCCCGGGACGUGUCCUGGGUUGACGGUACCGGAGGAAUAAGCACCGGCUAACUUCGUGCCAGCAGCCGCCGUAAUAC